rnacentral:rRNA from 1 species
UACAUGUGGGGCAAGCGUUGUUCGGAAUUACUGGGCGUAAAGCGCACGUAGGCGGCUUUGUAAGUUAGAGGUGAAAGCCCGGGGCUCAACUCCGGAAUUGCCUUUAAGACUGCAUCGCUAGAAUUGUGGAGAGGUAAGUGGAAUUCCGAGUGUAGAGGUGAAAUUCGUAGAUAUUCGGAAGAACACCAGUGGCGAAGGCGACUUACUGGACACAUAUUGACGCUGAGGUGCGAAAGCGUGGGGAGCAAACAGG